ensembl:lncRNA
GUGGUCCAAUGCUGUUUUGGACUCCACUGACUUUCUUGUAUGAAUAAAAAAAGGUGAAACAUUAUUCAAAAUAUUUUCUCUUGUGUUCUGCUGAACAAGGGUCAGCAAAAAUAAGCAAGAGCACAAAAGAAACCACCGCCAGUCCUCAGGCGCUGACUGCGAGGUAGAGCGUCAGAGAGGGAGAGACUGAAAGAGAAAGAAAGACUUGGAGCCAAGUAUGAGCAGUA